rnacentral:lncRNA from 1 species
GCUGGCUGAAACAGCUAAACAUUUACUAAAGAAGGGCUUAUCCUUGUAAAUGUGUAUCUUUUGCAGCUCAAAAGCAUCUCUCAAGGACCUGAGAACUCUUCUCAAGAACAGAACCAUCAAAAGAGUAAGACCACAGUCUCUAAGACUCUACCAGAGGACAGAAUCCUAACUGAUCAUUACCAAUCAAAAAACCCAGCUGGCCAGUCUCACGGACACAAACCAACCCUCUGCAUUCCUACUUCUCCCUGAGACCCCAUGUUCCACCAUGGUUAUUUGCUUUUAGUUGACUUUAAAAAUCACUAAUUCUGGAGGACUUGCAGCUGAGCUAUGUGUUGUUAGGCUCCCCCAGAUUUGCUGUGGACCUCUGGGUGCACGGGUCACCGUGAUCAUGGUUGCCUAGGUUAGAUUUCAGAGACUUGGAGGCCAUUUUUGUUGAAAUCACCAGUUCUUCAUCUGGGGCUACAAAGGCAUCAGAUCAGUGGUCUUUUGACAUCAGAAAACUAAAAACUCCACCUUCAGGUCCUGCUAACUGCCAUUUUCUGAACACAGGUCCCAUGGAGAGACAGGACGGUUGGUUGGGCAUCACCCUCCCCCAUACCUCAGACAACC